UACGUAGGGGGCGAGCGUUGUCCGGAUUUAUUGGGCGUAAAGCGCGCGCAGGCGGUGAUGUAAGUCGGGUGUAUAAGGCUGGAGCUCAACUCCGGCAGGCACCGGAAACUGCAUCACUUGAGUACAGGAGAGGAAAGUGGAAUUCCACGUGUAGCGGUGAAAUGCGUAGAGAUGUGGAGGAACACCAGUGGCGAAGGCGACUUUCUGGCCUGAAACUGACGCUGAGGCGCGAAAGCGUGGGGAGCAAACAGG
rnacentral:rRNA from 1 species